GUCUACGGCCAUACCACCCUGAACGCGCCCGAUCUCGUCUGAUCUCGGAAGCUAAGCAGGGUCGGGCCUGGUUAGUACUUGGAUGGAAGAAAAGGAGUAAGGAGUCA
rnacentral:rRNA from 1 species